GGAUGUGAGGGCGAUCUGGCUGCGACAUCUGUCACCCCAUUGAUCCGCCAGGGUUGAUUCGGCUAGGCGGGUGUCCCCUUCCUCCCUCAUCACUCCAUGUGUGUCCCUCCCAAAGCUGCGCUUGGUGGAAGAGGACGGCCUUCCCCGAAUAGAGACAGAUUGGUCUUCCGUUCUGUCUAAGAGUUUAAGAGUAGCUGCGCUCCCCUGCUAGAACCUCCAAACAAGCUCUCAGGGUCCAUUGUGCUCCAGCUUCAGAAUUACUUUUCUUUAUAACCUAAAAGGCUGAUGGUGGGGUU
rnacentral:snRNA from 1 species